AAUCUGUGUGGGCACUCGAAGAUACGGAUUCUUAACGUCGCAAGACGAAAAAUGAAUACCAAGUCNGGGAUAACUACUGGAAACGGUAGCUAAUACCGCAUAACGUCGCAAGACCAAAGAGGGGGACCUUCGGGCCUCUUGCCAUCGGAUGUGCCCAGAUGGGAUUAGCUAGUAGGUGGGGUAACGGCUCACCUAGGCGACGAUCCCUAGCUGGUCUGAGAGGAUGACCAGCCACACUGGAACUGAGACACGGUCCAGACUCCUACGGGAGGCAGCAGUGGGGAAUAUUGCACAAUGGGCGCAAGCCUGAUGCAGCCAUGCCGCGUGUAUGAAGAAGGCCUUCGGGUUGUAAAGUACUUUCAGCGGGGAGGAAGGGAGUAAAGUUAAUACCUUUGCUCAUUGACGUUACCCGCAGAAGAAGCACCGGCUAACUCCGUGCCAGCAGCCGCGGUAAUACGGAGGGUGCAAGCGUUAAUCGGAAUUACUGGGCGUAAAGCGCACGCAGGCGGUUUGUUAAGUCAGAUGUGAAAUCCCCGGGCUCAACCUGGGNCCCUGGUAGUCCACGCCGUAAACGAUGUCGACUUGGAGGUUGUGCCCUUGAGGCGUGGCUUCCGGAGCUAACGCGUUAAGUCGACCGCCUGGGGAGUACGGCCGCAAGGUUAAAACUCAAAUGAAUUGACGGGGGCCCGCACAAGCGGUGGAGCAUGUGGUUUAAUUCGAUGCAACGCGAAGAACCUUACCUGGUCUUGACAUCCACAGAACUUUCCAGAGAUGGAUUGGUGCCUUCGGGAACUGUGAGACAGGUGCUGCAUGGCUGUCGUCAGCUCGUGUUGUGAAAUGUUGGGUUAAGUCCCGCAACGAGCGCAACCCUUAUCCUUUGUUGCCAGCGGUCCGGCCGGGAACUCAAAGGAGACUGCCAGUGAUAAACUGGAGGAAGGUGGGGAUGACGUCAAGUCAUCAUGGCCCUUACGACCAGGGCUACACACGUGCUACAAUGGCGCAUACAAAGAGAAGCGACCUCGCGAGAGCAAGCGGACCUCAUAAAGUGCGUCGUAGUCCGGAUUGGAGUCUGCAACUCGAUUCCAUGAAGUCGGAAUCGCUAGUAAUCGUGGAUCAGAAUGCCACGGUGAAUACGUUCCCGGGCCUUGUACACACCGCCCGUCACACCAUGGGAGUGGGUUGCAAAAGAAGUAGGUAGCUUAACCUUCGGGAGGGCGCUUACCACUUUGUGAUUCAUGACUGGGGUGAAGUCGUAACAAGGUAACCGUAGGGGAACCUGCGGUUG
rnacentral:rRNA from 1 species